GCAGGCAAAGGGUCAUGGUUAUGCAAUUUACCCAGCACAAGAGACCGUGCAUCCUCACCGAAAGGCAGACUCAUCAAAAGUGUCCUCCUCGCCUGCAGGGGUGCCAAGGACACAUGUUGCACAGACCAUCUACCUGUGAGGAUUUUCUGCAUGGUGGAAGAAGUUUUCAGUAUGUAUCACAGACUCUUUGGUUUCUGCUUCCUGUUCUUGACCUUGUGACGGACGACAGCAACAGUGGUGAAGAAGUUUCCCAUGAACAGAAUGAGGAAGCAGAGACCACACAUCAAGACCUGGCAUCACGUGGAACAAAGGGAGCAAACCUCUGGGAGCUGAGCCAUUCUGAAGAGAGAGAGGCCAUUGAAGAGCUGCCAGAACUACAAGACAAAACACGAGGACUUAAGACUUUGUGUUGUAAAAAAAAAAAGUGUUUGAAGCUUUGCAAACGUAGACAAAAGCUUAAGCUGUUAUUGAGAUCAAACACCUGAACAUUGUCUCGAGUCAUGCCUACAUAUGCAGAGUAAUGUUAAGUCUAGAAUGACAUCAGCAUUAUCAGCAUUUUUUCAUCAGUUUGUCUGUGUCAACCAGUCUUAACCAUGACAAAGCGGGAUUUAUAAGCAGAGGAUAUUUCUCAAGUUCUGUUGUGAAUUAGGUCACUGUCACACAUUGUACUCACAUGACCAAAAAACAGGAAGGGCAGCAGAAACGUCAGCCCUUUCCACAUCCACGACUGAAACCCCUCUAAAAACAGAAAGCAGAAAAGUCUUUCAAGCACCUUUUUUUAAACUUCAACAUUUGUGUAAUACAGCAGAGACAAUGAGGAGCCUGAGACCUGCCAAACGGAGCAUCAUUGUGUCUCAAAUCUUCACUAAAUAGUCAAAUAUGCCUGGCUGAG